rnacentral:rRNA from 1 species
AAUAGAUACCCUCGGGUAGUCCACGCCGUAAACGAUGAGUGCUAAGUGUUAGGAGGGUUUCCGCCCUUUAGUGCUGCAGCUAACGCAUUAAGCACUCCGCCUGGGGAGUACGGUCGCAAGACUGAAACUCAAAGGAAUUGACGGGGGCCCGCACAAGCGGUGGAGCAUGUGGUUUAAUUCGAAGCAACGCGAAGAACCUUACCAGGUCUUGACAUCCUCUGACAACUCUAGAGAUAGAGCGUUCCCCUUCGGGGGACAGAGUGACAGGUGGUGCAUGGUUGUCGUCAGCUCGUGUCGUGAGAUGUUGGGUUAAGUCCCGCAACGAGCGCAACCCUUGAUCUUAGUUGCCAGCAUUCAGUUGGGGCACUCUAAGGUGACUGCCGGUGACAAACCGGAGGAAGGUGGGGAUGACGUCAAAUCAUCAUGCCCCUUAUGACCUGGGCUACACACGUGCUACAAUGGAUGGUACAAAGGGCUGCAAGACCGCGAGGUCAAGCCAAUCCCAAUAAAACCAUUCUCAGUUCGGAUUGU